UUCAACGCUAGACCCAAUCCCCCUCACGGUUAUCCAAGCUGGCGGCUUAUAUUGGCAUAGUAUACGCUGUAAGUACCUCAUAAAAUCGUGCAUUUUUGGUGAAAAGCUCUACAAUGCGCAUGAGACACGCUUGGGAGAUUUCGGCAAUGAGAAAUCCUUUAACCGAUUUUUACUAAAGGACAGAGUUUUAGCAGUGCGGAACAUUACCAUUUUUGGUUAUAUUUGAUAAACAAUCUGAUUAACCAAUCAGAGAUGAGUAUUUCUAUGCCCAGUCUCACGCGGACACGCCUCAACUCAGAGUUGAAAAACAAAAUGGCGGUGCAGUUGAAUCGGGAAAAUCAUGUUGAACCCUGCUUUUUAACUAUCUGCUAGCAGUGAUUUCUUCUUAUCUGUUUAAGCAGGGAUUUCACCGACUCAGUGCGUCAUAUAUACCCUAUUUGUGUUGUUUCUCAUCGGCAACAGACCUCAUUUGCAGGGUUAUUUUUACGACUUCACCGAAUCGUACUGUAAUGAACGCGGAAGGGUUCUAACACCAAGUUGGAGCCAUUGAGGGUGUAUUUCAUUGUGUGUGCAGACAAAUGGAAAAAGGCAUAAAGUGUAAACUGGGGUGAGAAAAAGGCAUGGUAAGGGCAAAGGGGUGGUGACUAAUGGUAUGUCUAAUUGGGGGUGCUGACACAGGUUGUGAAGAUGAAGUAAACUUGUACCAUGUUUGAUUACUAGGCCUUGGAGAUAAUAGGAGAAUGGGAGUAUAGUCAUACCCUGGGUACCAGAGGCUCCAAGCUUCACUAGAGCAGAUAUCAUAUGGAAAAUAUCUAUUCAUAUUUGGUGAUACUUCAGGCUUAUUUUUUUUCUCGCCAGUCUCUAUUAUAUGCACAAAGAGUCUUUUUUUAUAUAUAUAAAGGGAAUUAAAUUAAUUUGAUUUGAUAGGCAAGUCUGAGUGUUGAAGCUCCCCUUUAAAACUAUAGUGAUAUUAAAAA